GGCACCAUGGUUUAGCGGGCUAAGGUGUCUGUUUUGUAAACAGGAGAUCCUGGGUUCAACUCCCAGUGGUGCCU